UACGUAGGGGGCAAGCGUUGUCCGGCAUUCUUGGGCGUAAAGCGCGCGUAGGCGGUGUGUCACGUCGGCCGUGCAAACCUGCAGCUUAACUGUGGGCGUGCGGUCGAUACGGGCAUCACUGGAGUUCGGCAGGGGAGACUGGAAUUCCUGGUGUAGCGGUGAAAUGCGCAGAUAUCAGGAGGAACACAGGUGGCGAAGGCGGGGCUCUGGGCCGAUACUGACGCUGAGGAGCGAAAGCGUGGGGAGCGAACAGG
rnacentral:rRNA from 1 species